rnacentral:rRNA from 1 species
GUCGACGAUGAAACUCUAGCUUGCUAGAGAUGAUUAGUGGCGGACGGGUGAGUAACAUUUAGGAAUCUGCCUAGUAGUGGGGGAUAGCUCGGGGAAACUCGAAUUAAUACCGCAUACGACCUACGGGUGAAAGGGGGCGCAAGCUCUUGCUAUUAGAUGAGCCUAAAUCAGAUUAGCUAGUUGGUGGGGUAAAGGCCUACCAAGGCGACGAUCUGUAACUGGUCUGAGAGGAUGAUCAGUCACACCGGAACUGAGACACGGUCCGGACUCCUACGGGAGGCAGCAGUGGGGAAUAUUGGACAAUGGGGGCAACCCUGAUCCAGCCAUGCCGCGUGUGUGAAGAAGGCCUUUUGGUUGUAAAGCACUUUAAGCAGGGAGGAGAGGCUAAUGGUUAAUACCCAUUAGAUUAGACGUUACCUGCAGAAUAAGCACCGGCUAACUCUGUGCCAGCAGCCGCGGUAAUACAGAGGGUGCGAGCGUUAAUCGGAAUUACUGGGCGUAAAGCGAGUGUAGGUGGCUCAUUAAGUCACAUGUGAAAUCCCCGGGCUUAACCUGGGAACUGCAUGUGAUACUGGUGGUGCUAGAAUAUGUGAGAGGGAAGUAGAAUUCCAGGUGUAGCGGUGAAAUGCGUAGAGAUCUGGAGGAAUACCGAUGGCGAAGGCAGCUUCCUGGCAUAAUAUUGACACUGAGAUUCGAAAGCGUGGGUAGCAAACAGGAUUAGAUACCCUGGUAGUCCACGCCGUAAACGAUGUCUACUAGCCGUUGGGGUCCUUGAGACUUUAGUGGCGCAGUUAACGCGAUAA